rnacentral:lncRNA from 1 species
AUGUAUCUUAUGGCUGCAUCGAUAACCUCAUCGCAGCUGGGCUCCGUGGGCUGCCCUUCUGCCGCCGGAGGUUGUUCUGCGACGUGCGGACAAGCAGGAAGAUGGGGGAAGAGGAGAGACCGACUGAGCGCUGCUCUGGCCACGCAUGGCUGUUGCCUCCUGUACACUCGCCAAGUGCCGCGGGUUUCCCGAACUGCUGGAGCAGGCAGGAAAACACCAGCAGCAGGGCAGCGUGGCCUUGCUGAGGCCCCACAGGGCUUCCCCUUCCUGACGCGUCUGCCCAAGGGCUGCCUUGCGGCCAGGCUUCAGAUCCCCCCUGGCAAAGCUGUCCCAGGUGCACCACCGCUCCCGGCAUCUCCCCGGGCUGGCGGCCUGCAGGCACCCCAGCACCACCAACAGCAGCCUGGGGUGCUUCUGCAGUGCCUGUUCUCCCCAGCACCUGUUGUCACGUCUGUCAACACUGCCCCGGGAAAUGGUUUCCCCAAAGCAUCGUGGGCACCCCACAUCCAAUCUGCCUCCCAAGGCCUUCUCCUGGCCACGCCCAGGCAUCAAGGAGGACAUGUCCUUAGCUGCCAGCUGCUCGGCUCAGCCCAGCGCCCCGGCAUGCCCGCAUCUUGCCAGCCUUGUUCCCUGAGCACCCCGGCCACUCGGGCCUUACCCAUCUCGGAGUUGUCUUCGCCAGAAGGCAUCCCGGUUUCCUCAGUGCUGGGGACCGCUGCGUUGAGGCUCUUCUUGGCCUUUGGGGACAAGGGUGGCAAAAACAACACCUCAGAGAGGCAGCAGAGAAGGAUGUGGAGGGAAGGGAUCUUGCGGGAAGCUGGUGGGUCGGGGAGGGCGAGGGAGAAGGCAGCGCAGGGCUGCUGGAGCCGUGGUGCUGGUGCUUGUGGGCUGCUGGGCGCAGCCCCUGCUGCGACAGGAGGUGUUGGGGAGCUCCCCGGCAGGCAGCCUUUGCACAAGUGCUUGCACAAGAAGCCAGCGGCUUCCCUUUUGGAUGGAGCUGUCCAGUGCCUUUCUCCUCUCCUGGUGAAGAGCAACAGGGACAGCAGGCGGUGGGCAGGGGCUGCCCUCAGCUUGGCCAGAGCGGGAGGGGAGCGGGGAUCCUGUGCCUUGCACUUGAUGAUGCAUCUCCCCGCUGUUCUCCUGCGGCACAGGAGCAGUGCUCUGAUAGCAAAGAGCCUUGGCCGACCACAGCCCUGGGGGAGCUCCCUGUACCCAACAGCCCAGAGCUCUUCCUUUCCUAUUAGUCCUUGCUCUUGCCAGUGA